UGCGGGUGUAGUUUAGUGGUAAAACCUCAGCCUUCCAAGCUGAUGAUGUGGGUUCGAUUCCCAUCACCCGCUCC
rnacentral:tRNA from 1 species